UAGGGAAUAUUGGACAAUGGGGGCAACCCUGAUCCAGCCAUGCCGCGUGAGUGAAGAAGGCCCUCGGGUUGUAAAGCUCUUUUGUCCGGAAAGAAAAGCUUCGGGUUAAUACCCCGGGGUUCUGACGGUACCGGAAGAAUAAGCACCGGCUAACUUCGUGCCAGCAGCCGCGGUAAUACGAAGGGUGCAAGCGUUACUCGGAAUUACUGGGCGUAAAGCGUGCGUAGGUGGUUGUUUAAGUCUGAUGUGAAAGCCCUGGGCUCAACCUGGGAAUGGCAUUGGAAACUGGGCAGCUAGAGUGCGGUAGAGGGUAGUGGAAUUCCCGGUGUAGCAGUGAAAUGCGUAGAGAUCGGGAGGAACAUCUGUGGCGAAGGCGACUGCCUGGACCUGCACUGACACUGAGGCACGAAAGCGUGGGGAGCAAACA
rnacentral:rRNA from 1 species